ACGCUGGCCACAUCCUACACAUGAGCAUAGAAUUUGGAGCAAUGUUUUCAUUUUUCUAGGGAGUGAUGUGCUCUGUUGAGUCGGAAAGCCAAUUUGCUGAUUAGCCCAUAUGUCUCUUCUGAUGGGCCAUGUUCCACGAUACAAAGACGGUAGCCUGUGGCUA